rnacentral:rRNA from 1 species
AGCAGCCGCGGUAAUUCCAGCUCCAAUAGCGUAUAUUAAAGUUGUUGCAGUUAAAAAGCUCGUAGUUGAAUUUCGGAAUCAGUACGCUGGUCGUGCCUCCGGUAUGUACUGGUGUCACUGAUUCCUCCCUUCUGACGAACCAUAAUGCCAUUCACUUGGUGUGGUGGGAAAUCAGGACUGUUACUUUGAAAAAUUAGAGUGUUUAAAGCAGGCUCACGCUUGAAUACAUUAGCAUGGAAUAAUGAAAUAGGACGUUGAUCCUAUUUUGUUGGUUUUUAGGAUUGACGUAAUGAUUAAUAGGGAUAGUUGGGGGCAUUAGUAUUCAAUUGUCAGAGGUGAAAUUCUUGGAUUUAUUGAAGACUAACUACUGCGAAAGCAUUUGCCAAGGAUGUUUUCAUUAAUCAAGAACGAAAGUUAGGGGAUCGAAGACGAUCAGAUACCGUCCGUAGUCUUAACCAUAAAACUAU